rnacentral:lncRNA from 1 species
CUAUUACAACUUCCUUUACUAUGAAAUGAAAUGGGGUUUCCCCGUUUUGUCCAGGCUGGUCUCGAACUCCUGAGUUCAGGCGAUCCGCCCACCUCGGCCUCCUAAACUGCUGGGAUCACAGGCGUGAGCCACUGUGUCUGGCCUGAUCUGCUACUUUCUAUGUGAAACAUAGGACAUAGUUUUUGUUUCUAUUUUGAAGCUCUAGUUAUCUGAAUACACAGUAGCUGGGUAAAUAGCUAAUAGACACACAUCUAAACUGACGUAUAGCACAGAUGCAACUCUCUGUAGUCUGAACUGCCGCCCAACUUCCCCGUACGGGGCAAUGGAAGAGUCUUAUUCGGACAAUUUGAACAAUCACCAGUUGUAUCAUUUUAAUAUGUCAUAUUAGUAUACAGAGACUAACAGCUGUUAGGCAAAUUAUUAUUUCCAGUCUUACUCCGUGACUUACAGCUUCCGUGAAUUAAAAUGAUAGAGGAGUCUUCACUGUUGCAAUUAAAGAUUUGGUCCAGGCGUGAGAAUAUCACUGAUUUUUAUUGUGACUUUAAGUCUGUAACACGAACGUAAAGAGUCAACUAUAGUUUCAUUCUCCGCAGAACGCGUUCUCCUCCCAGUCCUCAGCCUUGCUUUCCUGUUUGAAUCUCGCCACCUUUCCCGGUUUCAUCAAAGCCAGAUGCAGACGCCCCUAAGCCUGGGCGAGAUGCACGGGAGAAAGGCCCACUUCAAAGGGAUCUUCCUCCUUUUAAUCAGUAAGAAAUGGAAGAAUGGAGAAAGAGCGCGUGCAUGUGUCUCCCGGCUGCAGGCUCCUGUUUAAAGCUUUCCAGUUUGAGUCUUCAGAUAUCCAGAAGCUGUGAAGGGGCAGCCCGGUCACCAGACACAAGCCUUGCAAAGGGACAGCCUCCGUGGAAGAUGGACAGACCCACACGGGGGAGAACAAAUCAACGGGCAAAUGAAGCAUCUGGCCAGCUGGGGAGCUCUGCUUUCCAUUUUAACUAAUAAACCAGCCUUCCGG